UACGAAGGACCCAAGCGUUAUCCGGAUUUAUUGGGUUUAAAGGGUGCGUAGGCGGUUUAUUAAGUCAGUGGUGAAAGCCUGCAGCUUAACUGCAGAAUUGCCAUUGAUACUGAUGAUCUUGAGUAUGAUUGAGGUGGGCGGAAUGUGUCAUGUAGCGGUGAAAUGCUUAGAUAUGACACAGAACACCGAUUGCGAAGGCAGCUCACUAAGCCAUAACUGACGCUGAUGCACGAAAGCGUGGGGAGCAAACAGG
rnacentral:rRNA from 1 species